CUAACACACAAACACGAAAAAAAACAACAACUGCUAUCAAAGUUCCUGUAAGUUUUUUUCUCCGUUUUUAUUGUCUGCUGUAGUUUGCUGAUAUGCCAUAGUUUAGUAAUGAAAGAUAAUUUGAACAAUAUCUUCAUAUUGUUGUACUGCUAGAUUCCAGAUUUCCAGACGAUUCACCAAAAUCCUAGUAUUUCUAGUUGAAGGAAUGGGUAUUGUCCUUUAACCAACUCAAUAUUCUGAAUUAGUGUUACUUUGGCUUCUUGCUUCAUUAUGAAAAUAAUAAUGUGAAAUUGUGAUUGUGAAAGAAUAAUUUUUUCGAUGAAAUGCAUUCUAUUUAAAACAAAACAAUGGAAUAUAGAAUGAUGUAUCCGAAUGAAUGGAGUCGUUUGAAAACAUUUCCUAUUGAAUGGUGCACCAAAUCAUUUAGAACUGUAGAAGAGAUGGCAGAAGCGGGAUUCUAUUUCUCUAGAACAACGAAACAAAUCAUGUGUUCAAACUGUGGAUUACCAGUUGUGGAGCUAGAUAGUGAUUGUAAUGUGGCCAAAAACUAUCUUAAAUCAAAAUGCAAACGAGAACCAUUGCUACAAAAAUUGAUCCAGAAGAUGGAAGAAAACGGUUUUAGUUUUACAGAUGUUGCCAGAUGUGAAGAUCUUAUAUGGGAUGCCAAGGAAAGAAAAUCAUGGGGAGUAGAACAAACUCAACAAAGCACUGAAGACAGUGAAGACUAUGAUGAUUUAUAAAAUAAUUAUGUAUUAUUAAUAAGGUAAUAAAAUGAUUUCGUUUUCAA